GGCUUGGUGGUGUAGUUGGUUAUCACGUCAGUCUAACAUUGCUCACAAUGAGUGUGUUGGGUACACUGAAGGUCCUGAGUUCGAGUCUCGGCCGAGUCA